CUCCCCCAAAGCCCGAUUUCGGCUGCGAUAUUUUCGGGGCGGCGGUUUUCUGCCGAAAUCUGCCUUCGUGGCUGAAAACCGCGGGGCAGAGCAGCGCUUUGUGCCUCCAGCAAACAGAGCGGGCAGCUGAAACUCGGAGGGGAGGAGCGAAGGGUCGGCGAAUUUGCAGGAGGCUCACAAACAAAUCAAACAAACAAACAACAGCUUUGAAACGACAGCUUACGGGCAAAUAACCGUUUUCUCCCUAGAAAAACCCACGUCCGAUGGGCUCCCGUGUGGUUGGAGGCACUGGCAGGAGGAGCUGUAGCCCACGGCCAGGUGAGGGCAGUUGCAGGUUGAUAGCACCUGGAAGGCAAAAAAAAAAAACAAACCAACCCAACAAACCAACACAAAAGUCCUGAGGUGGUAAUGCAUGCAUGUUCAUGUCUUCAUGUAGAGUGUUCAUCAGUGCCUUAUGUCAUGAUUUACAAAUAAUAAUAAUAAUACCAAUAAUAAUAACCAAAAUACCAUUUGGAAUGCCAACAUUCAGUGGGCUUUGAGGAGAUGUAGCAGCACAUCAUGGUUUGUAGGGACAAGGAGAUACAGACCAUUCUGGGCUGCCUCAUUACCUCAAGGAUAAGACAAGAAAGUGAGCUUCUGGUUAUCAUAGGGGUGGAGGCUGACGUGUCCCCAUAGCC
rnacentral:lncRNA from 1 species